UACAGAGGGGGCAAGCGUUAUUCGGAAUUAUUGGGCGUAAAGGGCGCGUAGGCGGCUUUUCAAGUGACGGGUGAAAUCCCUCGGCUUAACCGAGGAACUGCCUGUCAGACUGGAAGGCUUGAGACCGGGAGAGGUGAGUGGAAUUCCCAGUGUAGCGGUGAAAUGCGUAGAUAUUGGGAGGAACACCAGUGGCGAAGGCGGCUCGCUGGACCGGUUCUGACGCUGAUGCGCGAAAGCGUGGGGAGCAAACGGG
rnacentral:rRNA from 1 species